UACGUAGGUGGCAAGCGUUAUCCGGAUUUAUUGGGUGUAAAGGGCGUGUAGGCGGGAAUGCAAGUCAGAUGUGAAAACUCAGGGCUCAACCCUGAGCCUGCAUUUGAAACUGUAUUUCUUGAGUGCUGGAGAGGCAAUCGGAAUUCCGUGUGUAGCGGUGAAAUGCGUAGAUAUACGGAGGAAUACCAGUGGCGAAGGCGGAUUGCUGGACAGUAACUGACGCUGAGGCGCGAAAGUGUGGGUAUCAAACAGG
rnacentral:rRNA from 1 species